rnacentral:rRNA from 1 species
CCUACGGGAGGCAGCAGUAGGGAAUUUUCCGCAAUGGGCGAAAGCCUGACGGAGCAAUACCGCGUGAGGGAUGACUGCCUAUGGGUUGUAAACCUCUUUUUUCAGGGAGGAAUAAAUGACGUGUACCUGAAGAAUAAGCAUCGGCUAACUCCGUGCCAGCAGCCGCGGUAAGACGGAGGAUGCAAGUGUUAUCCGGAAUCACUGGGCGUAAAGCGUCUGUAGGUGGCUCGACAAGUCAACUGUUAAAUCUUGAAGCUCAACUUCAAAAUCGCAGUCGAAACUAUCGGACUAGAGUAUAGUAGAGGUAAAGGGAAUUUCCAGUGGAGCGGUGAAAUGCGUAGAGAUUGGAAAGAACACCGAUGGCGAAGGCACUUUACUGGGCUAUUACUGACACUCAGAGACGAAAGCUAGGGUAGCAAAUGGGAUUAGAUACCCCAGUAGUCCUAGCCGUAAACAAUGGAUACUAGGUGUUGAACAGAUCGACCUGUGCAGUACCAAAGCUAACGCUUAAGUAUCCCGCCUGGGAAGUAUGCACGCAAGUGUGAAACUUAAAUGAAUUGACGG